AUGGUACUUAGUUUAAAACAAA
rnacentral:tRNA from 1 species